UACGUAGGUGGCAAGCGUUGUCCGGAUUUACUGGGCGUAAAGGGUGCGCAGGCCGCGCGGGCAGUCAAAUGUGUAAUUCAGGGGCUCAACCCCUGCACUGCGCUUGAUACUUCCGCGCUCGAGCUUUGGAGAGGAGUCUGGAAUUCUCGGUGUAGCAGUGAAAUGCGUGGAUAUCGAGAAGAACACUUAGGGCGAAGGCAAGACUCUGGACAAAUGCUGACGCUCAUGCACGAAGGCUAGGGUAGCGAACGGG
rnacentral:rRNA from 1 species